AAGCGGAAGCGACAUGAAUGUUGUUUACUAAUGAGCAAUAUUACAUUUCCACAUUUGAGAUGGUUUCUCAGUCUGAUGUCAUAUCCUGCAGGGCACUGGAAAGACUUGGCAGACUUCCCAGCAGCGCAGCCUCCUGGGGCUGAUUCAGCCAAUGUUCCCACCCAGGAAUCCUGGACGUCUGACAGGAAACAGGCCCAACUCUCUCAAGGCCACUAUAAGUCAGCCUCUCCCCUCACCCCAAGUCUCCCCUUCACCCGAAAACCUCUCCCAGGACCAUUCUUUAUGCUUCUCUCAGACAAACUAUCUUACAAGUAGACAUUCUUCGUCACCAAAUCAUGUUUUCACCCUCCCUACCCUCUGCCCAGCUUCCCAUCGUAGCUCGGUCUUGCUUUAGCCUUUAAGCAAUUGAACAGUUUUAUUAGGUAAGAGAGCAAUGAUUAAUGGCUGAGUAGCAUUUGCAUGUACAGUUAUGUGCUGUCAUGAUGAUGCUAAUGUUUUUCUGACCUUGUUGGAGCAUGUUUGGGCUAAAUGUUGUAGCUUGAAUACUUCUUACAAUAGGGAGACAUCUCAGGACCUGCAGACAAGCUACAGCUGCUGUUUAAUUCUUCACAGCUCAGAAUUAAACUCGAGAACAUCAAAUGGAUUCUUUCAGUAUUUCAUUUAUUUUAUAAAAAGGGAAUGCAAUUACAAAAUGUUUAUGUACCUACAUUAGUGUUUCAGAUUGUACCGGUUUAACACAGGCAGCGUGCUACUGGACACACAAGGCUAUUGCACACGAGACAUUUCAUACAACAUAAAUCAUACAUACUGUACAAAGAUACAUACAUACAUACUUACAAACAUACAUAGUUUUUCAUAUAUUUAUCAUUAAAAAAAUCAUAGAAUCGGGCAACACAAUGAAGUGAUACAUAGAUUAAAACAUCUCUCCAUCUGAAAAAAAAAAAAAAAAAAACGGAGGGAAAGCAAA